rnacentral:rRNA from 1 species
UACGUAGGGUGCGAGCGUUGUCCGGAAUUAUUGGGCGUAAAGGGCUCGUAGGCGGUUUGUCGCGUCGGGAGUGAAAUCCACUGGCUUAACUGGUGGCUUGCUUUCGAUACGGGCAGACUGGAGGUAUGCAGGGGAGAACGGAAUUCCUGGUGUAGCGGUGAAAUGCGCAGAUAUCAGGAGGAACACCGGUGGCGAAGGCGGUCUGCUGGGCAGUUUCUGACACUGAGGCGCGACAGCGUGGGGAGCAAACAGG